AUUGAACGCUGGCGGCAGGCCUAACACAUGCAAGUCGAGCGGAUGAAGGGAGCUUGCUCCUUGAUUUAGCGGCGGACGGGUGAGUAAUGCCUAGGAAUCUGCCUGGUAGUGGGGGAUAACGUCCGGAAACGGGCGCUAAUACCGCAUACGUCCUACGGGAGAAAGCAGGGGACCUUCGGGCCUUGCGCUAUCAGAUGAGCCUAGGUCGGAUUAGCUAGUUGGUGAGGUAAUGGCUCACCAAGGCGACGAUCCGUAACUGGUCUGAGAGGAUGAUCAGUCACACUGAAACUGAGACACGGUCCAGACUCCUACGGGAGGCAGCAGUGGGGAAUAUUGGACAAUGGGCGAAAGCCUGAUCCAGCCAUGCCGCGUGUGUGAAGAAGGUCUUCGGAUUGUAAAGCACUUUAAGUUGGGAGGAAGGGCAUUAACCUAAUACGUUAGUGUUUUGACGUUACCGACAGAAUAAGCACCGGCUAACUUCGUGCCAGCCGCCGCGGUAACAC
rnacentral:rRNA from 1 species